rnacentral:lncRNA from 1 species
GCCUCUGCACUUGAAAUAUGAACCAACCACUCCGUAUAAAAGCAAGCAGAAUUUGCGAACCGUAAUUCACUCGAAGAAGACUGGGCAAGCAAGAAACCAUAAAAAAAAAAUCAAUCAGUAGGAGCAACUACGACAGUACAGCCGUCAAAUCGUACAUACCAUUUUACAUCAACAAAAUUUGCUGGAGAUAUCAGUUGGAAUAAAAAUUUUCCUGAGUUUCGGAUUGUUAAACAAAGCCUUCAUUUCACACACAAUGAACAGAAUCGUUUUGCUAAUAUUAAUAAUAUCCUAUGUUACCGUCGCAAUGACUUUGACACUCGAGCCUUUGGUUGGUCCAUCGGAAAGCGAAUCCGCUAAAAGAGCGUCUACAAACCUCUUGAAAAUUCUACUCGAGGGUACUGAUGGUACAAGAAUAAAAAAAGGUUGCACUACAAAUUUUGAACAUCUCUGCAGUGCACAGGAAGCUGCAGAACUAGCAGAACUGUUGAGAUUUCUUCAAAGUGGAGAAGGUCCCGGCAGAAAGUGAGACGAACUACCCAAAAUAGAUAUGCUUCAUACCAAUCACCGACGAGUUGCUGUUUUCCAGAUUAAACCACAGAUCAUAAAAGAGGGCAUAAAUGUAUUUUUAAUUCAUGUAUGUAUACAUGUAUGCAUACAUAUGCUAUGUAUAUAUAACUCUACAUAUGCUA